rnacentral:rRNA from 1 species
GAUGAACGCUGGCGGCGUGCCUAAUACAUGCAAGUCGAGCGAACAGAUGGGGCGCUUGCUCCUCUGACGUUAGCGGCGGACGUGUGAGUAACACGUGGAUAACCUACCUAUAAGACUGGGAUAACUUCGGGAAACCGGAGCUAAUACCGGAUAAUAUCUUGAACCGCAUGGUUCAUUAGUGAAAGACGGUUUUGCUGUCACUUAUAGAUGGAUCCGCGCCGCAUUAGCUAGUUGGUCAGGUAACGGCUUACCAAGGUAACGAUGCGUAGCCGACCUGAGAGGGGGAUAGGCGACACGGGAAGGGAGACACGGUCCAGAGUACUAAGGGAGGCAGCAGUAGGGAAUCUGCGGCAAUGGGCGAAAACCUGACGGAGCGACGCCGCGUGAGAGAUGAAGGUGUUCGGAUCGUAAAACUCUGUUAUGAGGGAAGAACAAAUGUGGAAGGAACUAUGCACGUAUUGACGGUACCGGAUCAGAAAGCCACGGCUAACUACGUG